AAAAGGGAAUGAUCAGAGUUCUGAGGAAGCAACUUGUUGCCAGUUAACCGUGGAUGAGAUGGGUCUCCAGAAACUGAAGUUAACCAUCCUGGCCGUCCUCUGUGUCAUCCUUGGAUCUUUUCUUGUGGCUUUUCAAGUGCUAUAUUUUUUGAGGGUGGAUAU